GGGUAUCUUACGGGAGAUACUUGCAGAAGUAUCAGAUACUCAGAAGGUCUGAGGCCUUCUGAAGUGACUGCACUAUUCCAAUGAAAAUGGAGCAUAGGAGUAUCCAUAAGCAUUUGCCUGGUGUUUCCUGAUGGUCUGAGGAACAUCUCAGAAGUACAGGCUGCUCCAGAGUUACAUAGCAGUGUUCUGGAAGAGCUCAUGCAUGAACUGAGAAGAACUAUAUUUUCACACAGUUGAAAUGAGCAAUUUAGGAAACUUAAUUAUACAUCUUAAAUGCAUUUGGUUCCUUCUUUUUGUAUCUUUUUUUUCCUUAGUACAGUUUGAAAACUGUCCAGAAGAUCUUCUGUCUGCUGUUCCUAAACAUAAUGUCAAACCAUGUGUCAGCAGGAAGGCUGUGGUUUUCAAGUUUUCUUGGGCAUAUUCUCCCCUGCUUUUACUGUGCAGGUGACAAAAUACUUAAAACAUCAGCUCAUUAUUCUGAACUGUUAUGAUGUAAUAUGCUAUGUUAAACAUGCUAUAAUGUAACAAUUGCUAUAGCAACUAUUCACUUUUUGUUCAAAAAUAGAAAUAAAUAGUUGACAUCUUGUGGGAACUGAGCAAUGUUUAAACUGGUACAUAAGACAUAGACUAUUCUGGGCUAAGCAUCAUGUUGAAACCAAGACAUUUAAAGUAUAUUAGUUAGCCUCUGUUAAAUUGUUAUUAAAUACAAUACGUAAUUAAGCUGAAGUAAUCUAAUUAGGCAUUCAACUGACAGGGGUUUCCAGUUGACUGAGGUUUUGCAGUGCCCAUUUUGUACAUGCCAGUAAAUGUUAACCUUCUUUGUGAGCAGCUGACCCUUAAAAAGAUGCCCAACUAGGAGAUUGUAUCAUAUACAGUAUGGUCUAAACAUAAUCCUGACCACAAAAAGGUCAAGAUUUUCCACUGUCUUUCAUGUAAUACCUUAGGGAGAUUUUUUCCCGUUUCUCAAGCAAAAUACUGUUUAGUGAGCUUCCUCUUCUUUGUUUCUGUUUUCUGAAUCUCAAAUUAGUAAUUGCAUAUGCAGCAAAGCUGAAGGAGACCCAAGAAGAUAUUCUGUC
rnacentral:lncRNA from 7 species